GGCUGGUCCUCGAACUGAUCAGGGUGAAUGAAUGCUGUUUACAGAGUAUGCGCAGUGUAGGCGCAGAACUGAAGGGAGGGAUUGGAUGGGUUCAGGAACAACCUGGUGGAAAUUAUCUGUACUGGAGUUAAUACUGAGCCCUGGGAAAUUCCUUUUACAUGGGGUGGGAGUCAAAGGAUUUACUUGCAGCCAACUCAAACCAAAAGAAACGUUUGUCUCUCCUGCAUCGAGAAGGAGAGGCUUUGGAACGGUUGGCUCUUGAAGACCGAAGAUUAAUUUCCCCCCUGUUGCGCCAACUUUUGUCUGUUGGAAUGAGGAGUAACUGCUGGGUUUAACCCCCAGCACUUGCUGAGACUGAUCGGCUCCAGUAACUUCCAAGCAAAUCACAGAAGCACGUUUACCAGCAAGAAUUCCAAACAAAAAUCCUAUCAAGAUCUUAGAAUCAUCUCACCAGGAGUUGAAAACCAAUGAAUUGUCAAUGUUUGUCUGUGGGAAAAGUUUGCAAACGUCAGUGUGCCCAAUGAACUGACCGUGGACAGGUCCUGCGCCAGUUCCACAGCCUGAAAAACAUUCCACCAUUCAGUGAGGAGAAACUGUAUCCCUGUCCUGUCUGGGUGAGGAGUCAGCCAAUCCUCUAAUAUGGAGAGACAUGAGGACACCUGC